AUAUAUAUAUAUAUAUCUAUAAAAAAUAAUUUUUAAAAUAUUUAAAUUUUAUUUAAAAAUUAUUUAUAAAUUAAAUUGUUUUUAUUAUUUAAUAUAUAUAUAUAUAUAUAUAAUUAAUUAAUUUAUUUAAAUAUAAAAAUAUUUAAUAUUUAAAAUUUUAUUUUUAAAAAAAUUUUAAAAUAUAAUAAAAAUUGAAAAAUUUAUUUUUAAAAUUUUUAAAUUAAAUUUUUUAUUAAAAAUACCUUUUGUAUCAGGAUUUAUUAAAAUUUAAUUAUUUAAUAUAAUAAUUUUGAAAAUUAAAGAUUUAAUUUAAUAAUUUAUUUAAUGUAUAAAUAUUAUUAAUAAUAUUAAAUUAGAAAUUAUAAAUUUAUCAAAUUAAUUUAUCUAAUUAUUUUAAAAAUAAAUUUAAUUUAAUUAAUAAUAUAUAAAUAAAAAUUAAUUUAUAUUAUUAAUAAUUAUAUAAGAGAUAAAUUUUAUAUAAAUUUAAAAUUUUAUAUUUAAAAUUAAAUUUUUAAAAUUAAAAAUUUUUAUAAAUAAAUAAUUUAUUUUUAUUAAUAAAUAAUAAUUUUUAUUUCAAUAAAAAAUUUAUUAAAUUAUAAAAUUAUUAUAUUAAAUUAAAUUAUAAAAAUAAUAAUGAUAAAAUUAGUAAAUUUUAAUUAAAUUAAAAUUUAAUUUAAUAAAAAUUAAUUUUAAUAAUUAGGCAAAUUUUUAUUCAAAUGUUUAAUAAAAACAUUUUUUAAUGAAUUUUAAUAUUAAAUCAAAUCUACUCAAUGAAAUUAUUUAAAUAGUUGCAAUUUUAUGUACUAAGGUAGCAUAAUAAUUUGUUUAUUUAAUGUAAACUAGAAUGAAAGAUUAAAUGAAAUAAAAACUUUUUAAAAUUAAUUUAUUAAACUUUAUUUUUAGUAAAAAUUCUAAAUUUAAUUAAUUAGACGAAAAGACCCUAUAAAAUUUUAUAAUUUUUUAAAUUUAUUUAUAUUAAAUUUUAUUUAAAUUAAUAAAAAUUAUUUAAUUGGGGAAAUUUAAAAAUUUAAUAAAUUUUUUAAAUAUUAAAUAUAUAUAUAUAUAUAUAUAUAUAUAAACUUUAAUAUAAGAAUAAAAAAUCUAAAAAUUUUAAAUUUAAAUAAAAUUACUUUAGGGAUAACAGCAUAAUUUUUUUAAAUUUUUAGAUAAAAAAGAUUAUGACCUCGAUGUUGAAUUAAAAUAAAUUUAUAAUUAAAUAUUAUAUAAUUAAGUCUGUUCGACUUUUAAAAUUUUACAUGAUUUGAGUUUAAAUCGGUGUA
rnacentral:rRNA from 1 species